AGACGCACUUAAUGAAGCGAUCGAGGCGUUGGGCGAGGACAUCGAUCUUUCCGAAGAUGAAGUCUUCGGAUUGAUCGGUUUACCGGUGCAAGAAGCAGCGGUGGACGAAGUCGUCGUCGAGCAGCCGCGAACACCUUCGCCGAGGAGGAGGAACGACGACGACGACAUCCACGAAGCGGCAACCAUUCGGAUGCCGCUGACACCUCCACCUUCAAUAUUCACGCAUCGGACAGCGCCACUCCAAUUACCGCCACCGUCUCCAUGCUCCCGAUCAUCUUCAACGGUGAAUGUGUCUGAUGACGACGACGACGACGUGGAGAUGGUCUGCGAGGUGAUUGUCUCGCGUCGACCACCACCACCACCACCAUCACGACGCGUGACAUGCGUCGACCUGGUGACGCCUCG